ACACAUUAUUCAUUAUAACAAAAUUUCUCAAAAUCACUCUCAAUUUUCUCUCAUUUCUCUCUCAACUUUCAAGAAACUCAAGAACACAAAAGUUACAAAAGCUCAUUCCUCCUUCCACAAGAAUCGCGCAACACCACCUAACUCCUGGCCACCUCCAGUGAUUUCCGGAAACUACCGGCCACCGCCCGACCGCUCUCUCCGCUAUCAAUUCCGGCCGUGGAUCUCCUUCUUCGGCGAGUUCUUCUUCUCCGGUAGCUCUCUUCCGAAUCAUUCAACUUCUCCGAUCUUCUUUCAGUUAUUGGUUCUUGAAGCCUUGAUUUAA